rnacentral:rRNA from 1 species
AUGGACGCCCCCGCGCCUACCCCUGCCUCAGCCCCUCCCGCCGCCGCAGUGCCGGCCGAGGCCGCGGCGAGGCCGCCUGCUCCCGCUCCAGCUCCUGCUCCUGCGCCGCCGCCGCAGCCUGCCGCGGCGGCCCCGCCGGCGGGGAGGCAGCUGUUCUCCGUGGAGCUCCGGCCCGGGGAGACCACCAUUGUGUCGUGGAAGAAGCUGCUCAAGGAGGCCGGCCCGGGAGCCGCCCCGCCGCCCUCCCUGCCCGCCGCGGCGGUGCAGCCGGUCGUCGCCCCCCUCGCGGGGCCCUCUGGUGCCGCGGUACAUCCAACAGAAAACGACCCAAAUGAUCCAUCACAGUCAAAUCGGUUCAAUGCAGUUAUUGAGAAAAUCGAGCGCCUUUACAUGGGCAAACAUAGUAGUGACGAAGAAGAUCUGGGUGAUGUGCCUGAUGAUGAUCAGUAUGACACUGAAGAUUCUUUCAUUGAUGACGCUGAAUUGGAUGAGUACUUUGAAGUUGACAAUUUGGAAACCAAGCACACUGGAUUUUUUGUGAACAAAGGGAAAUUGGAACAAAGUGAGUAUGGCUCAGUACAAAAUGUUGUACCAGAUGGUGCAGUACAAAAUGUUGGACCAAAGAAACGGAGAAGAAGAGAUUCUUCAAAUUCUUACAUCGAAAAUAGCAAGGAGCUUGCACCAGGCAGCAUGCCUGUAAAAGUCCCUAAAAGAAACGCUCUUGAAAUAGGAAAAAACAUAGCAAGUAGUGACUUAAGUUCUUACAGCGAAUAUCACUCUGAAGGCAACAAACCGUUGACGAAUAAAAGUAAUUCCCCUGUAAGAAUGCAGAAAGUGAAUGCCAGUGACAAUGCAACUGGUGCUGAGUAUGCAUCACAUCCGAAGAUAUCAACAUACUUGGAGAAGGAUGCUGCAGUGCAACUUGAUCUCCAAUUGAAAAAAUCCUCUAAUGUGGCGAAGCCAGAUUUGCCAAAGAAAAUGCGCCGCAAAGAAAACUAUGGUGUCAAUCAGUUUCCUGGGUUGACUACAGCAGACAACGUAUAUUCGACACAAACAACGCACUUGGCUGCGAACAGGCGCAUAGAAGGUUCAGGUAUUAAGGCCAAGGGUACCAGACUUGAGCGAGCUAUUCGUGACCUUGAAAAUAUUGUCGGUGAAUAUAAACCACAUACUCUUGAUGUUCCGUACAUUGAUCCAAAUUGUCAAGGAGCGGUCAAAAGAAGAUUGCCUCAAGAAAUAAAACAAAAACUUGCUAAGGUCGCAAGGUUAUCGGCAAAUCAGGGUAAAAUCUCAGAAGAUGAAUUGAUCAAUCGUCUCAUGGGCAUAGUUGGGCACCUUGUGCAGCGUAGGACACUGAAGAGAAACAUGAAAGAAAUGGUUGAAUCGGGUAUGUGUGCUAAACAAGAGAAGGCUGACAAGUUCCAACAAGUGAAAACUGAGAUCUAUGAAAUGGUCAAAGCACGUCUAGACACCAAGCCCAAGGUUACUGAACAAAGGGAUGAUUCAGCACAUGAUUUUCAGGGGGGUGUCAAUAUUGAUGAUAAAACAGCCUUAAAAGGCAAAUUUGUUCUGGAUGCUCCACUGGAGGACAGGAUCUGUGAUCUAUAUGAUCUUUAUGUUGAGGGUAUGGAUGAAGACAAGGGCCCUCAGAGUCGUAAGUUAUAUGUAGAGCUUGCUGACUUAUGGCCACAAGGUUACAUGGAUAAAGUUGAAAUUCGAAACGCCAUUUCAAGAUCAAAGGAGCGAAGGAAUUUAUUGUACCGGCAGCGCAAGGUUCGCAACGAGGAGAGAAUGAAGAGGAGAAGGAUAGCUGCUGCUGCCAAGUCACGAGAUGGCAACCCAAUGGUGGCUCACUAUGCUACAGCACAGCAAGUUAUGCAACCGCCCGUGAAAGACGCUAGUCCAUCGAUGACAAGCACGCACACCUUGUAUCCUGUCGUUAACUAUGGACACAGCCAGGUCUGCAGAAACGCCGACAGAGUUGGUGAAGUGACCGUGGGUGCAGUAUCUGACGGCAACCGUAGUUCUUCCGCGGACAUCAAGAGGAGAAAACUAGGUUCGGACGCCGCCGUGGAUCUGCAACUGCAAGCUAACCCACUGAAGGCCCCCCCGCGGUAUGUCAGUGAGAAGCAGAAGCCUGCAAAGCGUGCGGAUGAUGCAAAGGUCGGCAGUAGCAGUAGCCUUCCUCAGACGGUGCUUGCCAUUGCAGGCUAUGACCCCCAGCGGCCCGGCUACAGCUAA